rnacentral:rRNA from 1 species
UGGGGAAUCUUGCGCAAUGAGCGACAGCUUGACGCAGCAACGCCGCGUGGGGGAAGAAGGCUUUCGGGUCGUAAACCCCUUUCAGUUAGGACGAAGCUUUAUUGGUUAAUAACCAAUUGGAGUGACGGUACUUUCAGAAGAAGCCCCGGCUAACUACGUGCCAGCAGCCGCGGUAAUACGUAGGGGGCAAGCGUUGUCCGGAAUCAUUGGGCGUAAAGAGCGUGUAGGCGGCCUGAUCAGUCUGCUGUGAAAGUCCAGGGCUUAACCCUGGAAUGCCGGUGGAUACUGUCAGGCUUGAGUCCGGAAGAGGCGAGUGGAACUCCUGGUGUAGCGGUGGAAUGCGCAGAUAUCAGGAAGAACACCAAUGGCGAAGGCAGCUCGCUGGGACGGUACUGACGCUGAGACGCGAAAGCGUGGGGAGCAAACAGG